UACGUAGGGUGCAAGCGUUAAUCGGAAUUACUGGGCGUAAAGCGUGCGCAGGCGGUUAUAUAAGACAGUUGUGAAAUCCCCAGGCUCAACCUGGGAACUGCAUCUGUGACUGUAUAGCUAGAGUACGGUAGAGGGGGAUGGAAUUCCGCGUGUAGCAGUGAAAUGCGUAGAUAUGCGGAGGAACACCGAUGGCGAAGGCAAUCCCCUGGACCUGUACUGACGCUCAUGCACGAAAGCGUGGGGAGCAAACAGG
rnacentral:rRNA from 1 species